rnacentral:tRNA from 1 species
GCCGCGGUGGCGGAAUUGGCAGACGCGCACGGUUCAGGACCGUGUAUCUGAAAGGAUGUGUGGGUUCAACUCCCACCCGCGGCA